rnacentral:rRNA from 1 species
UACGGAUGGGGCUAGCGUUGUUCGGAAUUACUGGGCGUAAAGGGCGCGUAGGCGGCCAUUUAAGUUAGACGUGAAAGCCCUGGGCUUAACCUAGGAACUGCGUUUAAUACUGGAUGGCUAGAGUAUGGUAGAGGAAAGCGGAAUUCCUAGUGUAGAGGUGAAAUUCGUAGAUAUUAGGAAGAACACCAGAGGCGAAGGCGCUUUCUGGACCAUUACUGACGCUGAGGCGCGAAAGCGUGGGGAGCAAACAGG